rnacentral:tRNA from 1 species
ACCUGGCUGGCUCACUAGUAGAGUGUGAAACUCUAAAUCUCAGGGUUGUGAGUUCAAGCCCCAUGUUGGGUA